rnacentral:rRNA from 1 species
UACAGAGGGGGCAAGCGUUGUUCGGAAUUACUGGGCGUAAAGGGCUCGUAGGCGGCCAACUAAGUCAGACGUGAAAUCCCUCGGCUUAACCGGGGAACUGCGUCUGAUACUGGUUGGCUUGAAUCCGGGAGAGGGAUGUGGAAUUCCAGGUGUAGCGGUGAAGUGCGUAGAUAUCUGGAGGAACACCGGUGGCGAAGGCGGCAUCCUGGACCGGUAUUGACGCUGAGGAGCGAAAGCCAGGGGAGCAAACGGG